UAAUCAGCGAAGGUCAUGCCCAUUAGCGUCCAUUAAUGUCAUUGCUAUCUGUGGUGCCUCUCGAAGCUCCGCCCGGUCCAGCAGAUUCUUUCAAACCCUGAGGCGAUUGUGUUUGGGCUGUUUCGGGCUGGGAAGCAAGAUGAGAGCCCCAGGAGACUGAGGAUACGAUGCAUCAGCUGGGUUCCUGCCAUCACUUAGCAAACCCUCACAGCGAAAGGACUCCCAGUGAGGAAUCGCAAUCCCACACUCCCUGUACUGCAAUGUGUUCAAGCACCUAUUUCUUGAUCUUGUCCACUUGUCUAAUUGUUGGUGGCAGAAGGGUGAGCCCAGUGACCACAACUCCAACGCAAAGGAAGUGGAAGCUUCAGGAAGAACGAAGGGAGUGAGACGAGCUUCUCCUGUUUGAUCAGUGUGCUGAGAAGCCUGCCGCUCACCCAGAAGGAAUAGGGAGGAAAUGAGGGUUAUGGUGCAUGAACUUCAUGGGCUUCGCGUUCGGCCGGAUUUCCAAUCUCGAUGAUCCCCUGCACGACACUGGAGAGCUAGAGAUUGCAAUCGUGUUUCAUGCAUGCGGGGGAAACGUCUCGCAAGAUGAAAACAAUACCUCCGACUACCUGGCACAGCCACCACUUGGUAGACUGGAAGCUACUGGAAGCAUUUCAGUUUGGAAUCUAAACCCUAACUUAGUCCACGCGGAGCCUUCAUUUACACGCUUUCUUCCAACUCCCUAUGUCUGCUCAGGAUUAUCUGGGUACACAUCUGUCUCUGUCACCAGAUAUGAGCUUCCUUAAGGUCAGGGCUAUGUUUUAUGACCCUCCCCCCCCCCACCCCCCGUGUCUAACAUAGUAUUUUGCUUUUAUAAAAAAUAAUAAUAAUAAAUAUUUUU